AUAGAUCGUUUGAACUCAGAUUUCCAUAUAAUUUGUCGAUAUAAUGUAAUCAAUGCUUAUAAUCGUUUGAAGAUUUUUCAGUUAAUGGAUCGAUUAAAUGGACCUUAUAAUGGCAUUCAGUUGGGCCAAAUAACUACAAUUGGAAAGGAUUUCUUUGUUGUUUUUAUGUUAGAGAUUGGUUCAUCUUUAAUGUUGUUUACUUGCAACUUCAAACGAUAUUUUUAAGAAUUGGAAACGAUUAACAAUCAAUUAUGAUUUGAUUGACUUGGACACGAUUCCCUAGUAGAUCGACUCUUCAAUGGUAAAAAGUCUAAGCAAAUCUGUGUAUAAAAUCAACUUAUUGUGUGGUAAAUCGACUUAUUUUUUGGCUUUCACGAUUU